UGUGGCUCAAAACUCAAACUCAACGUUGU
rnacentral:piRNA from 1 species